UGGUCAUGUUACUAAUGGCGUGCCAUGGUGAAUGAAGUGUAACGCAGGAAUAGCAAAGAAGUCUCACCGCGGGUCGUAUGAUCAGAUGGAAAGCCGGAAUGUAGUACGAGAUACGAAGGAUCUUCAAGGGAUAGAGAUCAAGGACCGAGUCACAAGACAGAUUGUACGGGAACGUUGGUGUUGAAAUUUAGAAAACCCAUGUCAUGUAUUUAAUUGUAAAUGAGUCGGUUGAUGACUUCAUGUGAAAAAGUUGUGUUAAAAUGAAAUUUUAAAUAA